CAACUCGACUGCAUGAAGUCGGAAUCGCUAGUAAUCGCGGAUCAGCAUGCCGCGGUGAAUACGUUCCCGGGCCUUGUACACACCGCCCGUCACACCAUGAGAGUCGGGAACACCCGAAGUCCGUAGCCUAACCGCAAGGGGGGCGCGGCCGAAGGUGGGUUCGAUAAUUGGGGUGAAGUCGUAACAAGGUACC
rnacentral:rRNA from 1 species